rnacentral:rRNA from 1 species
GUACAGUUUCCGUAGGUGAACCUGCGGAAGAUCAUUAU